AAUAAUUGUAAAGGUCGUGAUAGUCCAAGAUCUUCUUUUCCAUGUAGAAAGCAUAUGGACAAUCAUUCUUCGGUGUCAUUGGCUCCAAUUCCUCCCGUUAAGUCCCUUCUAGGACCUCCCCCGUCUGAUAUUCCUCCAAUUUUGAAAAAUAAGGGUAAAAAUUUUGAUAAUCAUCAUUUGGCUUCAUUGGCUCCACCUCCUCCCAUUAAGUCCCUUCUAGGACCUCCCCCUUCUAAUGGUUCUCCAAUUUUGAAAAAUCAGGGUAGAAUUUCUGAAACUUCAAGGUCUUCUUCUCACUUGUCGUGCGUCAACUGUAAAGACUUUGGUCACAUUUCUUCUAAAUGUCCUAAUCGAACCCUAGUCAUGAAAGAACGAAAAAAUGUAAUAGAGGAGCCGUUAGAAGAUCUAGUCUAUGAACCUAAACUUGAAGAUUUUGAUGACUUGGAUAAUAGUGAGGACACUUCCUUAGGUGGAAUCCAAACUCUUCUCGAGACUUUGGAUACUAUAUCCCUUAUCUCCGACAAUUCUCGAUCACAUGUUAUAUGUCAUACCCUUACCCAAGUUAAAGAGCUUGAUGAUGUCACCAAUCACCCUUGGAAAAUCCAGUCACCUGUGGUUAACACUAAGGCAAAAUUAUCCACCACUGACCAACCUCAAAUUGAUGGUCAAAACAAAAGUGCUAACCAAAAUCCUGACAAUUUAUUACAGUCUCUAGUCCAGAAAAAUCUUAGGAAUUGGGACUUGAUCCCUCCAAUUGUUCAAAUUGCAUAUAACGAUCCAGUGAACUGGUCUUUAGGUCUAAAAUCCUUUGAAAUUAUUCUUGGUUGCGAACCUUUGAAACUUCUAGACCUUAUUCUCAUGCACCCACAUGCUUGUGUGUCUAUGUCAGUUGAAGUAGUUGUAUCACAUUUUCAUAACUUGCAUAUUGAGAUCAAUAAACAAUUUGAAGCAAGUAAAGCAUUAUAUAAACCUUAAGUUGUUUGGCAUAAACAAUACUUUGAAUUUAAUAUUGGGGAUUAUGUUAUAUUGCAAGCGUGUAAUGCUGGUCUUUUUAAAAUUUCAAAACAUGUUGGUCAAAAUGUCUAUGUCAAUGACCUUUUAUCACAUUAU
rnacentral:lncRNA from 1 species